UGGGGAAUUUUGCGCAAUGGGGGAAACCCUGACGCAGCAACGCCGCGUGGAGGAUGAAGUCCCUUGGGACGUAAACUCCUUUCGAUCGAGACGUGGCCUCCGGGUUAAUAGCCCAGAGGGUGACGGUACCGCCAGAAGAAGCCCCGGCUAACUAC
rnacentral:rRNA from 1 species